rnacentral:lncRNA from 1 species
AUGUUUUUGUGUUUAGAUUCAAAUUGUAAUGGAUCAGAGAACAGCAGUUUGAAGGAAAUGGCAAAAUUCCCACUUAUUUUCAUAAAACAAGAAUUUACAUCUGCUUCAAUAAAAGCUUCUCACUACCCUGGUCUGGGAUGGGCUAAUCCUCUGUUUCUGUGUGCUCUACUUCAGCUUGUUGUUGAUUCAAACUCUGCUAUUUGUGUGCUUCUAGGAAAUAAUCCAGUGUGCUCCGAGUUGGAAAACUCAAGAAGUGACUGGAAGGCAGUGGGAUCUCAAACCUGGGCAGGAUGCUGGUGUGGAGGAGCAUACAGUGUCUGCAACACUACCACACAACAUCCUUGGAUGAUGUCUUCUUACAUGAGAAAACAACAGUGAUUUUGCCUUUUCAAUCGGAGCAGAAAAUCAAGGCUACUCACCAGUAAAGUGAACAGCAAUGGGACACUGCACAUGGACAGACACCCUAUGAUGCGCCUAAGGAAGGGAGAAUCAGGAGCCUUGUGAUCUGAUUUAAAUCACAGCACUUCAGUCUAUCUAAGUUUGAGUGUGUUUUACUGCGGGGUUGCCUUUAAAACAGGAGUACUUGACAUUUUUUUUACUCUGGAGUGUAUUUACUUAGAAAAUCUGAAAAACUGGAAAGCUUAUGGAUAAGAAGAACUAUAGAGAAAUGAAAAGCCCAACUAUGGGGCACUAAAUCACAGACAGACAACUGGACCAGUAACCUCAUUAUUUCUGUAAGGACAUUCAUGAGUAUAAUGGGUGCAAUCACAGAACUGGGCAUUUGACACACAUUUGCUGACAUUUCCUAAGGAGAAAAAUAAUAGUGCCAUUUUUUGCAGUGCCAGAUGAGUUUGCUCUUUUGUCCCAAGCUUGAGUCUAGAGGCUUUUCCUUAGCAAAUAUGUGCAGAGGCAGUGGCUCAGGUAAAUCAGAAAGUACUGGACAGCCUACAAAAUGUGCUGUGGUUGCAUCCCCUACAGACUCAGAACUCAGCACCCCAUGACUCUGUGGUGUUUCAGAACUGAGACACCCUAUGUGGUUACCAGCCUUCAGCAAUCUUGCUUUAAAAUUGUAACGCAGGCUUGAAUGCUGAGCAUAUUUUCUUGACUUCAGAGAAAAUAAAACCAUUCAGCCAUAUCCUGGCA